AAGACUAUACUUCCAGGGAUCGUUUCUAUGGUUUGUUACUAGAGAAGCUUCUCUGAACGUGAAGAGCACCCACAAUCAUGAGGAGGAGAUGGCGUGUUCUCUCCUGAGCGCGAAGCUGGUUCUUGGUGUUGCUUUGGUAACUGCCAUUUGCCAUUGGCCAUUGAUGAUCAUUCGUCUUUCUCCUUGGAGGAAGUAAGAGGGAGAGAACACCAUCUGAGUGGU